UGAUCAUACAUUUAGAAGUGAGACUCAUUUGAUACAAGUGACGAACUCAUGAUUUGACAAACAUGAAUUGAAAGUACUGGUCGUUGAAUUAAUAUUCAGAACGCAAUUACUACAUUUGGAUGAUAUGGACAGACCAGAAAAUAUACACAGAGGAAAGAUUAAAUACUCAAUCAGCACAUCAGAGAAUACACUAGUAGAGCCAAGAACAGGGAAUUAGGGAUGGAAAGUCACCAUGCUGAGCUGUCAAGAGUCCUGGGGAGUAAAACCUUCUUCUGCUAUGCAUCAUAGGCUAGGGCAGGCCAUGGUGUGGGCUGAGAUGGAAAUGUGUAAUGGUAUGAACCCUGGAGGAGCUGAUCCAGGGAAAACUCUCCUGACCUUGUGGAAAACACAUCCAUCUGAACCUCACAGUGAAAUGCAAACACACAAGUUAACCACAGAAGUUAAGAAAUAUCUUUGCCUGCAUUGUAUUGCUUUAAUGUGGAAAGUUUUAACAUGAGAAGCAGAGCAACAACAAAUGUGUCCUUCAUGCCAGUGCCACCACAGAACUGUCCUCGUGGUGGUGCUCUUCUUAGAAGAAAUACUGUGCCCCAGGUUGUUUUCAUUUUGCAAGCCAAGAAAUAUUUUGCAGUGACUGACAUACUUUCAGAUUUACACACUAUUAGGUAUUGAUUCUGUCCACAAAGAGUGAGAAAAAUGUUAAGGAGAGAGAGACAUGAUUCAAAUUAACCUGAGAAGGUACAAGGAGGUCCUUAAAUAAAAUUGAGUAGAGAUUUGGUCAAGAACAGAUGUUUUGUUCCAGAAAUUACUUCUUCUGAACAAGACCAGAUUUCCACUGAAGGCAAUCAACCAUAUGUAACCGUGCAUGUCAGAAUAAGUAUAAGACAUUCUUAAAAAUAAGCAAAACUUCACUCUUGGCUUGCAUGGGUGUAGAAGUAAGAUC